rnacentral:rRNA from 1 species
GGGGGGGGGGGGGGGGGGGGGGGGGGGGGGGGGGGCGGGGGGGGGGGCCGGGGCGGGGGGGCGCGGGCGGCGGGCGGGGGGGUAACACGGGGGUGACCUGCCCUCAGCGCUGGGGUAGGCCGGGGAAACUGGGUCUAAUCCCGGAUAUGACCUUUCCUCGCAUGGGGGUUGGGGGAAAGGUUUUUCGGCUGGGGCUGGGCCCGCGGCCUAUCAGCUUGUUGGUGGGGUGAUGGCCUCCCAAGGCGACGACGGGUAGCCGGCCUGAGAGGGCGACCGGCCACAUUGGGACUGAGACACGGCCCAGACUCCUACGGGAGGCAGCAGUGGGGAAUAUUGCGCAAUGGGCGGAAGCCUGACGCAGCGACGCCGCGUGGGGGAUGACGGCCUUCGGGUUGUAAACCUCUUUCGACCCCGACGAAUUUGGACGGUAGGGGUAGAAGAAGCACCGGCCAACUACGUG